rnacentral:rRNA from 1 species
GAUGAACGCUAGCGACAGGCUUAACACAUGCAAGUCGAGGGGCAGCACAGUGUAGCAAUACAUGGGUGGCGACCGGCGCACGGGUGAGUAACACGUAUCCAACCUGUCCCAUACUCGGGGAUAGCCUUUCGAAAGAAAGAUUAAUACCCGAUGGUAUCAGAUUAAGGCAUCUUGAUUUGAUUAAAGAAUUUCGGUAUGGGGUGGGGAUGCGUUCCAUUAGCUUGUUGGCUGGGUAACGGCCCACCAAGGCGGCGAUGGAUAGGGGGUUCUGAGAGGAACGGUCCCCCCACAUUGGAACUGAGACACGGUCCAAACUCCUACGGGA